UACAGAGGGUGCGAGCGUUGCUCGGAAUCACUGGGCGUAAAGGGCGCGUAGGCGGCCAUUCAAGUCGGGGGUGAAAGCCUGUGGCUCAACCACAGAAUUGCCUUCGAUACUGUUUGGCUUGAGUAUGGUAGAGGUUGGUGGAACUGCGAGUGUAGAGGUGAAAUUCGUAGAUAUUCGCAAGAACACCGGUGGCGAAGGCGGCCAACUGGACCAUUACUGACGCUGAGGCGCGAAAGCGUGGGGAGCAAACAGG
rnacentral:rRNA from 1 species